GUGCUCACUUCGGCCUCACAUAUACUAAAAUUGGAAAGAUACAGAGAAGAUUAGCAUGGCUCCUGCACAGGAUGACAGCAAAUUUGUGAAGCAGUCCAUUAAAAA